rnacentral:rRNA from 1 species
CCUGAUGCAGCGACGCCGCGUGAGGGAAGACGGUCUUCGGAUUGUAAACCUCUGUCUUUAGGGACGAAAAAAUGACGGUACCUAAGGAGGAAGCCACGGCUAACUACGUGCCAGCAGCCGCGGUAAUACGUAGGUGGCAAGCGUUGUCCGGAAUUACUGGGUGUAAAGGGAGCGUAGGCGGGGAGACAAGUUGAAUGUUUAAACUAUCGGCUCAACUGAUAGUCGCGUUCAAAACUAUCACUCUUGAGUGCAGUAGAGGUAGGCGGAAUUCCUAGUGUAGCGGUGAAAUGCGUAGAUAUUAGGAGGAACACCAGUGGCGAAGGCGGCCUACUGGGCUGUAACUGACGCUGAGGCUCGAAAGCGUGGGUAGCAAACAGGAUUAGAUACCCUGGUAGUCCACGCCGUAAACGAUGAUUACUAGGUGUGGGGGGACUGACCCCUUCCGUGCCGGAGUUAACACAAUAAGUAAUCCACCUGGGGAGUACGACCGCAAGGUUGAAACUCAAAGGAAUUGACGGGGGCCCGCACAAGCAGUGGAGUAUGUGGUUUAAUUCGAAGCAACGCGAAGAACCUUACCAGGUCUUGACAUCGAGUGACGAACUUAGAGAUAAGUUUUUCCUUCGGGACACGAAGACAGGUGGUGCAUGGUUGUCGUCAGCUCGUGUCGUGAGAUG